AUACGGAGGGUGCAAGCGUUAAUCGGAAUUACUGGGCGUAAAGCGCACGCAGGCGGUCAAUUAAGUCAGAUGUGAAAGCCCCGAGCUUAACUUGGGAAUUGCAUCUGAAACUGGUUGGCUAGAGUCUUGUAGAGGGGGGUAGAAUUCCACGUGUAGCGGUGAAAUGCGUAGAGAUGUGGAGGAAUACCGGUGGCGAAGGCGGCCCCCGGGACAAAGACUGAGGCUCAGGUGCGAAAGCGUGGGAAGCAAACAGGAUUAAAUACCCGGGUAGUCCACGCGGUAAACGAUGUCGAUUUAGAGGUUGUGGUCUUGAACCUUGGCUUCUGGAGCUAACGCGCUAAAUCGACCGCCUGGGGAGUACGGCCGCAAGGUUAAAACUCAAAUGAAUUGACGGGG
rnacentral:rRNA from 1 species